AUCUUGGGGUUACAAACAAAUUAACCAAAGGCGCUUGCUGCCUCAGCAUGACAUCUAAAAGAAGGCAUAAACAUCGUAUGGCUAAAAAGAGGAGGUUUUAGUACGUAGGCGCUGUGGAACUUUAUAGUUCUGAUGAUGCAGUGAAUCGUGCAUGCGGCAAUUCACCCGUAGUAAGGUGACCGUAUCUUUCGAAGAUUUCCUCCCUCUGCGAUC
rfam:Drosophila willistoni strain TSC#14030-0811.24 scf2_1100000005630 genomic scaffold, whole genome shotgun sequence.